rnacentral:rRNA from 1 species
UACGUAGGGGGCAAGCGUUGUCCGGAUUUAUUGGGCGUAAAGAGCGUGUAGGCGGCUAGGUAGGUCCGUUGUGAAAACUCGAGGCUCAACCUCGAGACGCCGAUGGAAACCAUCUGGCUAGAGUCCGGAAGAGGAGAGUGGAAUUCCUGGUGUAGCGGUGAAAUGCGCAGAUAUCAGGAGGAACACCGACGGCGAAGGCAGCACUCUGGGCCGGUACUGACGCUGAGGAGCGAAAGCAUGGGGAGCGAACAGG